rnacentral:rRNA from 1 species
AUUGAACGCUGGCGGCAGGCCUAACACAUGCAAGUCGAGCGGCAGCGGGACCUUCGGGUUGCCGGCGAGCGGCGGACGGGUGAGUAAUGCCUAGGAAUCUGCCUGUUAGUGGGGGAUAACGCGGGGAAACUCGCGCUAAUACCCCAUACGUCCUACGGGAGAAAGUGGGGGACCUUCGGCACUCCCGCCAACAGUGUACCCUCGGUCGGAGUAGCUGGUGGGUGGGGUAACGGCCCACCAAGGCGACGAUCCGUAACUGGUCUGAGAGGAUGAUCAGUCACACUGGAACUGAGACACGGUCCAGACUCCUACGGGAGGCAGCAGUGGGGAAUAUUGGGCAAUGGGCGAAAGCCUGAUCCAGCCAUGCCGCGUGUGUGAAGAAGGUCUUCGGAUUGUAAAGCACUUUAAGCCGGGAGGAAGGGCUGUGGGCGAAUACCCUGCAGUCUUGACGUUACCGGCAGAAUAAGCACCGGCUAACUUCGUGCCAGCCGCCGCUGUAAGAC